rnacentral:rRNA from 1 species
GACGAACGCUGGCGGCGGGCCUAAUACAUGCAAGUAGGACGCAGUGGCGAACGGGUGAGUAACGCGUAGGUAACUGCCUCAUGACGGGGGAUAACUCUGGGAAACGAAGGCUAAUACCGCAUACUGUGCGAUGGACCUUCGUUGUAUUGGCUAGUUGGGGAGGUAAAGGCUCACCAAGGCGACGAUGCAUAGCCGACCUUAGAGGGUGGUCGGCAACACGGGAACGAGGACACGGCCAGACUCCCUCGGGAGGGCGGAGGAGGGGAUCAUUGGCCAUGGACGGAAGUCCUAACGAGCAAAUGCGCGGGAGUGGAGAAGGUCUUCGGAUCGUAAAACUCUGUUGUGAGAGAAGCGGUAACUAAAGAGAAAGGAACGGCUAACUACGUGCCAGCCGCCGCGGUAAUAC